CCUACGGGAGGCAGCAGUGAGGAAUAUUGGUCAAUGGUCGGGAGACUGAACCAGCCAAGCCGCGUGAGGGAUGAAGGUACAGAGUAUCGUAAACCUCUUUUGUCAGGGAACAAAGGCGGGGACGCGUCCCCGGAUGAGUGUACCUGAAGAAAAAGCAUCGGCUAACUCCGUGCCAGCAGCCGCGGUAAUACAGAGGAUGCGAGCGUUAUCCGGAUUUAUUGGGUUUAAAGGGUGCGCAGGCGGUCUGUUAAGUCAGCGGGCAAAGCCCGGGGCACACCCCCGGCCCGCCGUUGAAACUGGCAGUCUCGAGUUGGAGAGAAGUAUGCGGAAUGCGCGGUGUAGCGGUGAAAUGCAUAGAUAUCGCGCAGAACUCCGAUUGCGAAGGCAGCAUGCCGGCUCCACACUGACGCUGAGGCACGAAAGCGUGGGUAUCGAACAGGAUUAGAUACCCCAGUAGUC
rnacentral:rRNA from 1 species